UUUUUGUUUAUUUAAGAAUAUUCACAUGCUAUCCCUGAAAAUUAGCCAUACCUUCAUUCCACAUUUUCUAUGGAAGAGUUCAGACAUGAGGAAUUGUUAAAGCUAAUUACUAGCAAGAAAAAAAAAAUGUGUUUUUAAAUGAAGCACAAAACAUCAAAAAAAACAGAGGCUGAAGCAGGAAAUAACUUGGCACAGGAGGAAGACCCAGUAGCAGAUGAUGCCCAGGCUGCAUAACCUUGAACACAGCAUUUCUAACCAAGGCCAGGUUCAUGGGGAAGCUGCCAGUGCAGCCACAGUGUCCUGUGCCCACAAGGGCCUUAUGCUUGUGGUUAAUGCCAUUGUCUUAAAACUCUUCAUUUUAUCUCUGACUUAUGUUUUUAAAAUGAAGUCUAGGAGUCAGCUGAGCAUGUGCUGAUGGCUUGGAGGCUUGGCCCACAGAAGGGCCCAUCUCAGCUCCCCUCUCUCAGACAGGCUCUCAGCACCCACUCUCCCACUCCCUGGCACCUCAGGACAUGCUCAGCCUCCUCUUCCUGCCUCCUUUCCACCCAAAGUGUGGGAUGUGCUCCACGCCACCUUCGGACAGGACAUGCACUCCAGGGUGGCAUCCGGGCUGGCAGUACCAAGUGCAGUAAGCAGGUUGUCUCUGUUUCCUCUCGACUUAUUUCACUGACAAAAAGCAUGUUUUUAAUCUGCUUUGUAUCACUGAACCAACUGAGAAAACGAGUCCUGUUCCUCAUGAAUUAUUGAAGCUUGUUGUCAGCAACUAUAAACCCCGGAGGCAGAUGACAGCCCCAGAAGCUGAGAGAAGACAGCCCAAUCUGCGGAGCCCAGUGAGGGGAAAAAGGGAGAAAGAAAAUCGCUCUUGAAUGGAAAAUUGAAGAAACUCCUGUUUCAGUUUAGAAUAUGGAUGUGAGGGAGCUCUUCACAACCAACGCAAAUCAAAACUGAUGAAUAAGUCUUCUUGGAUAAAGUUUUAUGCUAUUUCUCUUGUACUUGUUCUUUCCUUAACAAAUCUUACUUGGUUGGGAUCAGAAUCAAUUAAAGUGAUUUAAAUGAUAAGUUUCAGAGGUAAAGCUUGUGGGCGCUUAACAUAGAUAUUGAUUCAAAAAAGUUAGUAUGUAAAAUAAAACAAGUCUGUUUAUCACCAGGUAGAACUAGAAUGAACAAGAACACUGAGUAUUUUCAGGGGGUUCAUGUGAGUCCUGUUCUCCCUGUUGUCAGUUUUAAUUCAUUAUCUAUUCAUUCAGUAAGUAUUUGCUGAAGUCUCUCAGUAGCUUUCUCUCUGUUCCUUUUUUUAGCAUUUAUUUGGCCGUGUUGGGUCUUAGUUGCAGUGCAUGUGGUCCUCGUUGCAGGGUGUGGGCGUCCCUCUAGCUGUGGUGCUGGUGGGCUUAGUUGUCCCAAGCCAUGUGGGAUCUUAGUUCCCAGACCAGGGGUCGAACCCUUGUUCCCUGCAUUGGAAGGCAGAUUCCUAACCACUGGACCACCAGGGAAGUCCCUCUCUGUUCUUCUUGAAGCAAAUACUCUUCAGAAAGAACAGAGGCCAUCGGGUGUCAGGGCCAGAGUGCUCAGCCUUGGGUAGGGAGGCGCCUUCCCCUCUCUGAGUCCCAGUGGCCUGCAUCUGUAUGACUCCAAGAGCGAAUGGCCCUGAAGUCUGAUAUCCUUGGCACCUCACUCACCCACCCUUGUCUAAGCCCUGCCUCCAUACAGUGCACUUUGGUGAAUUUUAUGACUCCAGAGACAUCUUAGGUAUAAAGAUCUUGUCUCUGCUCUGUCUCCUCAUAGUGGAAAGCUAGUAAAAGUGUAAGCAGCUCACCCUGACUCCAAGGUUAAUUGCACCCCCAAGCCCAGCUGCAGUGGCUGCUUUCCAAAGGAGCUGCCCACAUCGGGGGUAAGGAAGCGCCAUUGCACUGAGGGCGGUCACGAGGGCACUUGCUGAAUGCUGACACUGGACAUUCCUGCCCAGUGUUGACUGCUUCUUUGGUUCCUGUCUUGUGCUUUGGCUCUGAGCUUUGCUAACUGUGACUUUUGGCUCUGGCUCCUUCUGGGCUGCUGCCCGCUGCCUCCUUGUGUUCUCAGUGGCAGACCUUGCAGCUCUGCCCAUCAGCUGUGUCCUUGCUCUGGCUUGUUGCAUUCAUCCCCUUUAGGCCUCCUGCUCUCUUUCCUCCACAGUCCUGGGCUGAGGUCCUAAGGCCAUGUCACAGUCCAAGGUUUGGUCACUGACAGUGUGUCCUGGAAAGGAGAAGCGAGACCAGAAACAUUUGUUUUCUAUUAUUCUUCAUGAAAGACAGACUAAAAAGAUUCUGCCCUUCUGGACUACAUAGGUGUGUUAUAAAGAUUAACAUCCGUGAAGCCUGUGUGGAUUAAUGUAAAAAGCAGCCAUGUAGAAGAUUGCCAAGCUAUUGCCUUGGCAACAUCCCCAGGUUAGGAAGAGACCUAAAACACAAGCUGUCAUUAUAAAGUAAGGAGGCUGUUUUUUUCCCCUACCAAAAGCAUCAAACUGUAUACUUGUAGAUAACUCUUGUCCCUUUCAAAUUAAUCAUUGUGGGGAAACACUCACUUAUUUCAGCAAUUAAUGCCCACUCAAAAAAAUUUUAUGACUCAACUUUUGGUAUUUCCUUUAAGGACAGAGGCUUAUUUUCUUUCCCCCAAAUCUCCUUAGUGGUAAAGUGUCUUUAUUUUAUCAAGGUUGUCCUGAAUUUAAAACAAACCAAAUCUGGAAGGAAAGUCAGCCAUGAGUCAGGGAAGUAUUGGAGAGAGACAGAUACACAGAGAGAAACUGAUUGAUUGAUUCCACCUGAAACUAAAAAGAAAAAAAGACUUGACUGUAAUAGUAAGGUGGAUGUGUGUGUCUGCAGGCAUGCAUGUGGAGGGUGGAGUGAUUGUGUUUAGGAAAGUCAGAGAGACUAGCCUUGGUAUUUCAAUUUGUUGGUAGUGACUUUACGUCCCACUGAACAAAGAAUGCAAAUCUAACAGGCCAUGCAUGCUACAGCUUCCAUCCCUGUCAGGACAAUUUCUCAGCUUCAGUCUUGAUUAGAAGCACAAUUUUUUUUUUUUUUUUAACAGACGAUGCUGUCAGCUGGAAGGAAAAAGUCCCACAGGGCACAUCAUGGGAAUGUCUCUCCACCCAGGGUUCACAUAGCUUUGUCAUCAUAUCUGAUCUCUGCUGCCGCAGAUAACAAGCCAACAGAACUGGACGUGCAGACUUGGGAAGGCUUGCAAUUGAAUUUUUUAGAAAAAGGUUACUAUACAGACUGGUCAGCCCCUUUUGUACCACUGCCACUAUUCUCUAGGUCCAGUAUUCCUUCCCUCAGGCCUCUCUGUGCCUUUAUAAAGAUCAGCAAUUAUUUUCAGCUCCAAGCAGGAGGCUGCCAUGCAGGGGCUCCCCAGAGGCAAUAAGUCUGGGAGAGAAGGUGGAUGAUUUACAGGUCAACAGCUACCUGGUAGAUACUGCGGGAUACCUUGCUGUCAAUACCAAAGGAUUGAUGAGCAUGGCUUUGUGAGCCAUAAAAACAAUCUGUAAGAAAAAAAAAGAAAAGGAAUCAAAAUCUUUUCUCCUCCUCUUGGACAAUCUGGUGGUUUCUUUCUUCGGUUUUGGUAGCUAAUGCCAUUUUUAGAUGCCUAUGAAAAAGACAGAAACAUUCUUGCUUUGUGAAUUCUGGCAUUUAAACUCAUACUGUGUGUAAUCUAGCCAACAUUAACAAUGGACUGAAUUCCCUGUGUUUGCAACAUUUCCUGGAUCCCCAGGGGGGCUCUGCCUGUCAGACGCUACUGAGGACCACUUAAGGCUAAGUCGGAGGUGCUCGGAGGUGCUCAGCCCCCUGUGCCUGCUGUGACUCUCAGCUGUAGUGCUCACCUCCCCACCCUGUGAUGGGCAUUUCUCCCUUGCCAACCGGCCAGUACUAUCCACUUGCCACGUUUCAGGAACUGAAAUGCCAGAGUAUCCUGAGGUCCCAUGUUCAGGUUUUUCUUUUCUUUUUUUUUUUUUUCCUAUUUUCAUCCCUCUGGUAGAUACUACAUUAUUUUAGAAUGAAUUAGCUGAAUCUGUUUUGUCCUGUCACCUAAAUUCAAUUCAGCUUAACAAUCACUUAUGAAAUCCUCGCUAAGGACAGAUAUGAAAGCUGCAGAUGGUAAAUGAAAAUUGAAGACAUCAUUCAGUAUCUAAUUGGGUGGAUAUUCAAGCACAAAAAAAGGCAAUGUGUUAAUAACACAAGGUAGAAUGAGAUAGGUGUCUUAGGAUACAUGGAACAUUGUUCCUUCACCGUUGUACUGUGAAAUACUGGCCAUCAGGAAUGGGAUACUACUGAUGAGGAAAAGAGUGAAACACAGACAUCAGGAAGCCGCCCCAUCAAACACUUGUGCAGUGAAUCCUUUGCCUAUACUGAUAGUUUCUGAAUGGUGCUAGGUAGGUCAGUCUGUUCUCAGGGUAUAAGUGUGACGAGGCUGUUAUUUACUUUUUACAUACAUUACUUUUUUUGGGGGGGGGGUUAUUUAUUUAUUUAUUUUUAAAAUCUUUAAUUCUUACAUGCAUUCCCAAACAUGAACCCCCCUCCCACCUCCCUCCCCAUAACAUCUUUCUGGGUCAUCCCCAUGCACCAGCCCCAAGCAUGCUGCAUCCUGCGUCAGACAUAGACUGGCGAUUCAAUUCACAUGAUAGUAUACAUGUUAGAAUGUCAUUCUCCCAAAUCAUCCCACC
rnacentral:lncRNA from 1 species